rnacentral:rRNA from 1 species
UACGUAGGGUGCGAGCGUUGUCCGGAAUUAUUGGGCGUAAAGAGCUUGUAGGCGGUUUGUCGCGUCUGCUGUGAAAUUUCGGGGCUCAACCCCGAACUUGCAGUGGGUACGGGCAGACUAGAGUGUGGUAGGGGAGACUGGAAUUCCUGGUGUAGCGGUGAAAUGCGCAGAUAUCGGGAGGAACACCGGUGGCGAAGGCGGUUCUCUGGGCCUGACCUGGACGCUGAGGAGCGAAAGCGUGGGGAGCGAACAGG